AAACUAUAUAAAAAUUAAAUACAUACUCACAAUAUCUACAGUUAGUAAUAAAUUAUGAUUGUUAAAUACUUAAGGCAUCUCAACUGACAACACCCUGUGUAAACUAUGAAAACUUCAUCACGGAUGACUCCACUACAGGAGGAGGCAGCGUACAACACUGGCAGUGCACACGACAGGGGAGGAGGAGGAGGAGGAGGAGGAGGAGGAGGAGGAGGAGUAAUCCUCGUUAAUUGAUCCCCGGCCCACUGAGAGGAGCGUCUGAGCCAAGUCUUAUCCUUAUACUAUCACAGUGCACAGGACAGAGAAGGUCCUAAAGGAGUCCCUCUCAACCUCCUCGACACAAAGGGUUAAAAAAAAAAAGAAAGAAAGAAAGAGAGACGAAGUGAUAACUGAGUUGUUUCAACAGCCUGGACGUCUUUCCUGCUGCCUGUGUGCACCACGAGAGCGAGGCUGCCUCCGUCGCACCACCACGUUCUACAUGUUCUAGCGAUACAGCAUAGCAACCAGCAUAGCAACCACGAGGGGAGGUCUGUCACACGAAUAACACAAGAUCAAUACGCAAAGCUCCUCUCUCCGCUGAAACACUGCAUGAAUCUAUACCUACCGCAAUAAGGUAAACAUCAACAAAGAGGAAUCCCGUCCUUGCCGCCAACAGGGAGACGAGAGGAUGAACACACGCUACAGGUCAGGGGGAGCAGCCGCUGACAACCGUGCUCAGUUUUUUUUUUUUGUUUGUUUGUUUGUCUGUUUGUUAGUGUUGAGAAGAUAGUCACAGCUCAGAUUAACUAAGUCAUGCAAAGCCAUCUCUGUACCUUUUUGAAAAAAAAAAAAAAUGGAAGGAAAAAUCGCUACCGAAGC